rnacentral:tRNA from 1 species
GGGCCUGUAGCUCAGGUGGUUAGAGCAGGCGACUCAUAAUCGCUUGGUCCCUGGUUCAAGUCCAGGCGGGCCCA